CUUUCUUCUCGUCUGUAUUCCCGGCUGCUAUAGAGCCGGGUUAGAGAGCGAGCGCCCGUCCGCGGGCGUCGAGGGCGGGUUGCCUCGCGCUGACCCUUCCCGCCCUCGUUACACACCAGGUCCCCGCGGAAGCGGCGGUGUCGGCGCCAUGGCGGAGCUGACGGCUCUUGAGAGUCUCAUCGAGAUGGGCUUCCCCAGGGGACGCGCGGAGAAGGCUCUGGCCCUCACAGGGAACCAGGGCAUCGAGGCUGCGAUGGACUGGCUGAUGGAGCACGAAGACGACCCAGAUGUGGACGAGCCUCUAGAGACUCCCCUUGGACAUAUCCUGGGACGGGAGCCCACUUCCUCAGAGCAAGGCGGCCUUGAAGGUCCUGACUGAGGGUCACGGUGUGAUUAUUCAGGAGGGUCCGAGGAGAAUCUGAAGGGAUAAUAAUACCGAUUGUUUGUUUGUAGGAUCUGGUUCUGCUGCCGGAGAAGGCAAACCCGUUUUGAGUGAAGAGGAAAGACAGGAACAGACUAAGAGGAUGUUGGAGCUGGUGGCCCAGAAGCAGCG
rnacentral:sRNA from 1 species